GAAGCGCGGGGUCCCGGAGCCGUGAGCCUGCGCGGCGGAGACCCGCCGUCCUGCCGGCUGAGUCUGCUCUCUCCGCCCCCGUCUAGGGCCGAGGAGGCUGGACCCUCAACAGUGCCGGCUACCUCCUGGGUCCCGAGCUCCACCUUCCUCAGAGCAGGGACCGCAGCAGCAGAGGAAAGGAGAAGCCGGCCCUGGAAGUCCUAGACCUGUGGAAGGCCACUGAUGGGCGGCCCAAGCCCCAUCCUCAGCGGGCCUCCGGGAGGAGUCCGAGGGAGACGUUGGCCAAACCAGAGACGGCAGGCACGGGCGAACUCAGCAAGAAAGCUCCCGGGGAGGGAGGUGCCCUGGGUCUUGGCCGCCUCCAAGCCUCUCCUCCGCAGCCUCUCGCCAGCUCCUCCUGAGCCCCUGCCUAGCUCCCUCUGCUGAGACCGAGACCUUGAAAUUAAGCAUCGAGCCCCAAGUCCCAUGUAGAAAAUGUGGAGCGUUGGCAGAAUUUCCUCAAAAGUCCCGAGACUGUCUCGGGUUUCACUGACUGGUCCUGGGAAUACGUAUAAAGCGUUGGUAACAAAGUCAAGAAUAAUUCUGGAGCCAUUUAGUUAAUGCAAUCGGGGACUAUUCCCAAAGUCCCGCAAAGAGAUUGUAUUCUCUUGCUUGUUUGUUGCUGUUGUUGUUGUUUCUUGUUUGUUUUGUUUUUAGAGAGUGUAGAUGAGGUGGGGUUGGAGA